AUCAUCUAAAUUUGCAUCUUGGCAUCAAAAAAGUACUUGAAGUCAACCCCACACUUGAAGUCCAUCCCAACAUCUACGAUACAUCUGUGGUCCAUCUGCCAAGUUUUGAAGGAAGUUAUUUAGUUUUAUUGGCGGAACAAGCGGCUCGAUUGUGAAUUAUAGCAUGGAUUAUACUCCUGCCUCAAUCAUCGUCAUCGUCAAAACAACAGUAACUACGAACCUAGAAGUAAUGUCCGCAACGGAAGCUAUCCUUAAGACUGUAUCAGAAGAAGUUACAACUACAACAACAAGAGCCGUGAAAGACACAACCAUAAGUGUUACCAUGGUAACGACUGAAACGACCCUUUUGAUAAGGAUGUCUGGAGAGCGUCGUCAAAAGUCCCGGGCCUUUGGAUAGGAUUCUUUCAGUGUUAUYAUUGUAAAGGAUGGUUAUUACAUGGGGAAGACCUACUAUUGAACGUUAACCUACAAAAYGUGAGAAAAAAGACAUUUGUCUUUGGCACCCAAAGGGUAUUUUUAUAGAAUUGUUAAAACGCAGUUCUAUUUGGUCGGCGUUUGCCGUUCACUUCACUUUCGAAGUAGGUAUCAACAUCAAUGAAACGAUAUGAUUAUCAAUGAAACUGAUAUCUUAUGGAAAUAUACUUGGACGAUAGCGGAUUUGAAUCGCUUAAGAUUUAUCUGAAAAUGGUGAUCAGAAAAGCGAGACUGACUUUAAAAGAUUACUUCUGUGAUGUAUCUCGUUGAUAGAUAGGCAACUCUACUCAACAAUAGUUUACUUGCAUUGUAGCGUCAUUUACUACCACUACCAUAUUCCCUUGCACACUCUUUUGUUCAGUUAAUUAGCACCAGUUGUCUUGUCACCAUUCUCAUGAAGGAAUACGAAUUUGAUUAAGAAGAAAAUUUGCGAGGAUUUUGGUAGUGGUAGUAAAAUGACGACAUCUUGCAAUUUGCCUGAUCAUCGUUUCAUUGGUAUGGAAUGAUCGAGAAUAAUGAAAAGAAAAAGUUACUUCUGUUCUUCUUUAACCGUGAACACUCGAGUUUGUCAACCAAUCAGAUUACGAAUCGAAAAUAAUAGAAUUUGAGUUACAUGUAUAUACAAGUUACAUGUUAAAUAUAAAAGCUAUUUAAGGAGAUGAAAUGGUGAAAGAGAAAGGGGGAAAAAAAAUUUUAUUUACAAAGAUAAAAAACAAAAUAAAAUAAAUCGAUUGUUCAAGGUUAGAGUAGAACGAUAGUAAGGGUCUUGUCUAUCGUCGCGUUAGUUGCUUGAAAUGCUUUGGACAUUUAUUCUUGCAACUACAUGUUAUAGUUUUAUAAUAAUUUUAUACGUUUUUAAAAGGAAGGACUUCUGAAUUACUAAAUGUGAGGUAAUAGGUAAUACGCUAAAGAUUUGUUUCUAAAAAAGGAAUGUUCUAGAAUUAAAAAGUUUAUAUAAAUGAUUAUUUACCAAUAAAAUAUACAUUACCAUUCA